rnacentral:rRNA from 1 species
AGCGAACGCUGGCGGCAGGCCUAACACAUGCAAGUCGAACGAACCUUUCGGGGUUAGUGGCGGACGGGUGUGUAACACGUGGGAACGUGCCCUUAGGUUCGGAAUACCUCAGGGAAACUUGUGCUAAUACCGAAUGUGCCCUUCGGGGGAAAGAUUAAUCGCCUUUAGAGCGGCCCGCGUCUGAUUAGCUAGUUGGUUGAGGUAAUGGCUCACCAAGGCGACGAUCAGUAGCUGGUCUGAGAGGAUGAUCAGCCACAUUGGGACUGAGACACGGCCCAAACUCCUACGGGAGGCAGCAGUGGGGAAUCUUGCGCAAUGGGCGAAAGCCUGACGCAGCCAUGCCGCGUGAAUGAUGAAGGUCUUAGGAUUGUAAAAUUCUUUCACCGGGGACGAUAAUGACGGUACCCGGAGAAGAAGCCCCGGCUAACUUCGUG